AGGCUUCAGGGCAAAAGGAAUCGUGGCAAGGAGGAGGUGAGCUUCCUGGAGAUUAAAGGUGAUGAGCAGCUGAGUGGGUCGCAGCAGUGGCUGAUGAAAUCGCUGUCCGAGGAGAAGGACAUGAAAUCAUUCAGCAAGAAACGAGGGGAGCAGCCAACGAGCCAGCAGCGACGUAAGCACCAGAUCACCUACCUGAUCCACCAGGCGAAAGAGCGGGAGCUGGAGCUGAAGAACGCUUGGUCUGACAACCGCUUGACCAAACGCCAGACCCAGGCCAAGUACGGCUUCUAGAGAUUGGAGACCAGGGCCAGCACCCGCCGUGUGGAGAGGGGACAGGGCACUCUGAGUGUGGGAAGGUGCUGAGGCACGGUACAUUCGGUUUGGGGGGGAUGGGGUGGCGGCUACAUUGCAGAGGUGGGUUGUCCUCUCCCCAUGUUGCCCAGGAGUCAAUUUAUUGACGCUGCCGUGCCAAGGUGGAAGCCAGGCGAUCAUGCUGGGUGACUGGCAUCAAGGUCUAAUCCCACCCCCCCCUCCCCCGACACACUCUGCCACUAUGUCACCCCCCCCUCCCAAGCCAUUGGUGAGUGGUGGCCCUGGGCAGUUCAGUUGUGAAGUUCUAGUUUGUGUGUAUGCGCCUGUGGGUGUGUGUGAGUGUAUGUGUGCGUGCCUGUGUUCCUCUUCUUUUAAAUUAACAUAAGGGUUUCGGGGUUGGACAUGUGCCCUGGGCAGCUGCGUCCCGGGAACGGGUGGCCAUUGUAACAUCGCUGGUCAGAACGCCUUUAGAAGCAAAGAAGCUGUAUAGCCGCAGUGUUUUGUAUAAAGAUCAUUCCUGAAGAAAAUGGCGCUGUCCAGUUCGGGUGUCAUUGCAAGCGUAUCUAUGACUGCCAUUCAUCCCCGCACGAGAUCUCCCUCUCUUGUUGAAGAGAGGUGUUUUUCAGAGCGAAAAGCAUUAGGUAUGUGUUCUCGAGCCCAUUGUAAUUGGUGCUGGCCCACAUUCACGCUCAGUCCCUGUUUCUAACUUGUGUCACAGUAGUUCAACUCAUGUAAGCAGGUUAAAUGUUUAGUUUAUUAAAAGCUAUUGCUGAGGGUUUCUUUUAAGGAUAGCGCAGUGAAGUGAUUCACUUAAUCUGGUUGCCGGGCACCAAGGUUGGGAAUAAUUAAGACACAGACACAGGCCUGUGAAGUCUCCAACGUAAUACUGCUUCUCUAAUUCUUCGCCGAAGAUUAAAGGCGCCUUCGGUUGGCGAAUUGGCGUCUCCUGGUGCUGGCGUUCAGACCAGCUCAAUCGAUUUGUUGUCUCCUCUUUGUAAAGAGAGAGAGCGGGAGGGAGAAGGUUCAUCGGUUGGCUCCCUCACGAGGCUUUUGUGGUUUUGCUCCCUCUGCAGAGCCGGCCUUCCUCCUUCGACAGAGCUGCGACCUUUCUAUCGUCCUCCUUCAGCCAAACCCCCCGACGUGUCCGCUUGGUCUGACAACCCUCUGACUAAAUGUCAGACUGUUGUGAAUGCGUCAGUUCACAAUCUCUUCUCUUUUAGAGUUUUUUUCUAUUCUACAGCAAAACAAUCCAAGGCUUCCACCCGCCAAUCAUAUAGAACAGUACAGGCUGUUCGGCCCAUGAUGUUGUCGUCCCCCCCCCACCCCCACCCCCCCAUGAACUGAUGGUACUCAUCCCUGGGCCUGUUCUGGGAGAUCUCUGUCCUUUCUUUUGGGGGGGGGGGGAGGUGGAGGCAGCCCGGUUGAAUUACCCUUGAACCACACCCCCCCCCCCCCCCCCCCACCUCUCCUGCAGAGCCACAUGUAAAUGUUGCACAGUGCCAGGGAGUUGGAGGAGAGUUUAAGGGGGGGGUGGGGAGGGGAUGAAUUCCCUCGGUGCAGACUGGCCCCGAGACUCUUUGUUUGAGAGAGCUGGGGCAUUGGCGUUGCUGUAUCCACUCUGAGCAGGGCAGUCAGAGGGAGCGUUGUGGGGUUGGGGAGAUGCUGGUUCAUCCCAGAGAGUGCUGCAUAGCAGGGUGGGUCGUUGCCUGGUAUUAGGGACUCGCAGGGCACUUUUUGAGGGCUUUUUGCAGCCGAUGGCACUCAUCACCAGGCAGUCCUCCGAGGAGACCAGCCACUCACUUUACCUCCUCGGUUGGCCAGCUCUGUGGUGGGGCUCCCGCUGCCCCUCACUGUGCUGUCAGAGCAGUGUCUGGUCAGCACCCAGCGACAGCGAACCCUCCUUCCCACUGGAUGGUUCAGGCCUGGCCAUGUCAUGGGGCUGAUCACACUGGGCAGCAGGUACAGCUGCCUGCCAGAUUGCCCAGUCCCGUUCUAACCUCGGUGUCCCUACACAGGGAGAGCCCUGACAUCGUACAACAAGCCCUUCCGUCCUGCUGGCUGCACCCUCAAUCAGUGUGUCAUUUUACCAGCAUCAAUCCCCCUCCCUGAUCUGUCACCCUCCCCACACCCCCUUCCUGUCUCUGUCACUCCCCUACACCCCCUCCCUGUCUCUGUCACCCCCUACACCAUCUUCCCUGUCUCUGUCACCGCCUGCAACCUCCUCCCUGUCUCUGUCACCACCCCCCACAUCCCCUCCCUGACUCUGUCACCCCCUAAACCAUCUUCCCUGUCUCUGUCACCCCCCCAUACCCCCUUCCUGUCUCUGUCACCCCCUACACCAUCUUCCCUGUCUCCGUCACCCCCCCUACACCCCUUCCUAUCUGUCACCCCCCUGCAACCACCUCCCUGCCUCUGUCACCCCCUGCAACUCCCUCCCUGUCUCCUGUCACCUCCUACAACCCCUCCCUAUCUCUGUCGCCUCCUCCAGCCCCCUACAACCCCUCCCUAUCUUGUGCCACCCUUUCUGGGUGGUGUGAGUGGUUUGAAUGGUGGUCCUGUUUGUGUUGGGGUGUAUGUACCAGGUUGGUUUGCCUGGUGUUAACUGUUUGGAGAGAAUUAACUGCAGUCCCGGAGUGACGUUUCUGUUGUUGCUGUCUGUCUCUGUCUGUCUCUGUCUCUCCCCCCAUUUCUCGCUCCCGAUGCUUCGCUGUCAUGUUUUUAAUCUGUUGUCCCUUUUGUAAAUGACCCUGAGAAUACUGUGUGUACAGCUUUGUUCGACGUUGCUUUCUGGUGAAGUUCCCAAUCAUGAGGAAUUGCUGUUUCUUUUUCUAAAAUAAACGCAUUCAAACAAA